rnacentral:lncRNA from 1 species
GUCAUAUCUCCGUACCUCACUUCCUGACACAAACAAGUUUUCACUGUUGUCAGCAACAAAGCCCUAAUAUAGCUGCGGAAGAGAAAAACUGCAUUGCAUUUUGCCUCCUGCAAGCAUCAUCAACAGUUACUGGAGGAACGUAAUUCCAGAAAGCUUGAAAGCCGUGGUGAUGGUAAUUAUGUAUCAAAUGCCUGGUUCUAUUUCUGUUAUUAUUGUUUUGUCAUUUCUGUUUUCCCAGCGAUCUGACUGAACUCGCAGAGGGACAAAUCCAGUUUUUCUUUUUGACUUUUGUCAAACUAAAUCAGGCCUGAUAGAAAACUCAUUGCUCUCCGGGGAAACAAAGUAGGAGCCACGAAAUGUCAUUUUAACAGAGCGUGGGUUUGGUGACUGUAGGAAAGGAUUUGAGGACGCUCCUUCUGUUCGGCUUCCUAUGUCAUGAGCACAGGCUCCACGCACGCACAGACACCACGGCUCCCGGAUGCUGUGGCUCCCCGAUCGGGGCUCCUGCAGCGCCAGAAGCCCCUCCGGGAUGCUUCGAGGGGCUCCCGGUGGGUGGAGGUACGGACGCCGCUGCGGCCGCCGCCGCCAGUCCUGCUGCUGUUGUUGCUGCUGCAGUCACGUGGGAGCCCCUUUAAGUUUCCAUAGAGAGGCCUCUCUGGUGUCACAUGAUGGACAUGAUAUAAUGAAACAACAUUGUGGAGAGGAAAGCAUUAGGGGAGCCCACGGCUACAAAAACAAGUGAGUGAGAAGAGGUGGGAGGAAGAGAAACUACGCCACCUCCCCUGCAGCCGAGUGCACGCAGCAGCCUGGCGUGACAAGUGGGCGACGCCGGGGGGCAGGGAGCCGGGGUCCUUGGCCCUGGCCGGGGACCCCACCGCCCACCGCGCGGAGGACAACUUUUAGCCGGCAGCCCAGACCAGCGCGGCACCUGUCUCCGGAGUCUCCACCGCUCCUCCCGAUUCAUCCCAGGGAAAUUCUCAAGAAUACGCUCUACAAAUCUACGUGCGCAUCAUUUUCACCUCGCGUCGCGCCCGGGAGGAAGGAACGAGGCAAGGAGCUAAAGCAGCGUGCGUUCAGCCCUGGGGCAUUUUAUUAAUGCUUUUACGAGUUAGAAGAGUUGGGAUAAUUUGCCAUCUGGAGUUUCUCUGCCUUGCUGAUCUGAGCUCAGACCUGCCAAUUUACCAGAGAUAAUUGAUAACACCCUGUAACAGCUGAGAGGAAAAUGGAAGAAACGGAGAUACUUUUAGUGAAGCAGAAUAAACCACUGAACAGGAAAAAUGAGGAAGCUGUGAGUACCAGUGGAAGGAACGAGCCAGGAAGAGGGACUGGAACCAUCUCAGAAGCCAUGCCCCUCAGGCUGGAACUUGCCCUGUCUCCUCGCAGAUGAGGUAGGAGGCUCAGCACGGGCUGGUGGGAGCAGCCCACAGCAGCAGUGAGGGUCAGUGGGCCUGUGAGUUAAGAAGAAGGUGGCACAGAGCGAGGGUCUCUGGAUCCUGACUGUUUGACUUUUCCAUGAUUAGGAUAAGUAGCCAGGGCUUGGCUAGUUGGAGAGUUACUCGAACCUCAGGUGACAGUUGUAAGGCAGCACAUAGUGAAAAAGAGUCCUAGCCUGGGAAAGUCCAAAACCUUAGGUCUGGUUUCAGUUCACUCACCUAUCUCUGUGACAUAGCAAAGUCUGUUAAUUUCUCUAAUUUUCUGAUUAGUAGUAUAGUUGCAGGAAUGAAAUAAAAAUGGUCCUGAUUACUCAGAGAUUCAUUUACUGAUUACUCUUUUUGUGACCUGAAUAAAGAGUACAACAUCUCUCAAAAGGUAACAAUAUGAUGUUUCAGGAAAUUAGAGAAGUUAAGAGACUUUGCUGUAUUUACUAUACAGAUAGUUGACUGACAGCUGAGCCCGGACCCAAGAUUCAUUUAUAAAAUGAAGGAGUUGAGAAGUACAUACUCUGAGGUUUAUCCUAAAUAAACUGAAGUCUAGGCAAGUGGCUGAGCUAGGUUUGCCAUGAAUCAAUCUGCUGAGUAUAUUUCUUGGUAACUAGUUCAUCUUUCCUUAAUUCAGUCAACAAAUAUGAUAUCAAGUUUAGUAAGAUGAUGACAGUUGUCAUGUAAUACUCCAUCUGGAAGAUUGUAUGCUUCUCAGCUUCCCUAACUUUUCUUAAUCUACCUUAAGCUUCCUUUCUGAAAGGUUUCUGUCUUUCCUAACAGUCUCUUCUUUCCGCCAGCUACCUCUUGUGUUUAAGAAUUAAAGGAAGAUGAGCUAGGAAUCAAGAAAUACGCAGAACUGAUUCCUGUCACUGGCGCCACCCUGCCACUUGCCCAGAGCUGUGGUAUAAAUUUUUUUAAUAGGCUGAAAUAAAAAUAUGAAUAGCAUUUUGGUAUUAAGCAUUAAAUUGAUAAAGGCUAUGAGAUACACCUGCUCUCAACCAUGUUAAUUUUUUAUUAUUGGUAUUAAUAAAUUAUUACUUACUAACAUAUUAACAAGAAUUGCAUUGAGAAACAAAGCAUCCACAGGCCAAAUCUUCUGAAUUUCAAAUGUUUAUAUUAAUGCGUUGUAUUCUAGAAAAGUAGAAUUGUCUUAAGUAGCUUUGUAAUAUAAAGUCAUCUAUCAGCCCAUUACACCUAUUAGAAUGUUUUAACCUUUAUUUCCCACUUUUUUGUUUCUAGACUGAGUGUACUUGGUCUGGUAUUUGUGGCAUAACUUACGGAACACAUAAGAAUGAUACAGAUACUAUUUAAUGAUGACCUAAUACAAGCUUAGAUAGCUAAGGUGAAAGCUUCUAUGGCCUUAACAUUUUCCUCUUGAAGAAUGUAUUUUCUGUAAUAAAAUACAGUGGCUACUUGAAAUCUAUAAACUUAUGUGAGGUCUGGAUAAAUCUGAGCAACUUUCUUCUUUGUGCUCCAGGAACCUACGCACUAUAUAUAUAAAUAAAGCUUAAGUAAACAUCACUGCAA